rnacentral:lncRNA from 1 species
AAAACACCUUAUUUCCCUGCCAGCCUCAACAGGCUGCAAAGGUGGUGAGGCUGAGAAUGGUCCGAAAAUUUCAAAGUGUGAUGGAUUAGACAGAGGAAAAAAAAAAAGCAGGCAAAGCAGGAUAGUUUCCAUACAAAUUCUUUCCAUUAUACCGGGUUUCUUUUAAAGGCUCUGCCAAGACAUAGCAAGAUUUUCGAGCGUGGAAACUAAAGAAGCAAUGCAGCCCUGCACAAAAGCUUUCCUCCUUGCCACCCGAGGUGGGGUGCAGUUUGGCUCUAACAUGGCCAAAUGGCUGUCAGAGCUAAGCACGCGUGUUGUGCUGCCCUGAGCGCAGCCUGAGAACACAGAGCGGGGAAGGAUGGCAUGCAGACUGCCUGGAAAGGUGGGUGAUGCCUGCAAAGCAGAGAACCACCAGCUCUAAGCUAAAAAGCUUGGUGAAUAAUAUACAAUGAAUGGAAAGCUGGGGGUUUGAUUAUGCAGACAGGCCAGGACUGAGCCCAACUUGAGGAGCUCUGUGCGUGCAGCAGAAGGGAGAUGCAAAUUAAAGCAGUGGUGAAAGGAGGCCAGAGAAGGAGAGCAGGAAAGGCCUGAGCUGAGCUCCUACAGGGCAGCAGUGGAGACGGAGGGAUGAUGAUGGAGCUGUGCAGGCCUACAAAUGCGGGCUGCCCCAAGCCAGGCGCUCACCCUGCUGAGGCCUGGGGGCAGGGGCCAGUGGCAGGCCCAGCCCUGCUGGCGCUCAGGGGUGCUGGGUGUGCUCACCCUGUGUGCUCUGGGGCUUUGCCUUCCCUUCUGCAAGCUGGCACAGCUGCUUUGUCUCCUCUCACUCCAUCUUUUGGGGCUGUCAAGCUCAGUUCUUGAGCCUUCUGUGAGCAGGAAAGAAGCAAGCUAAUGCAGGAGCAAAGCAGGCAGCCCAGCCCUGCAGCAUGGAGCUCCACACAGCAGUGACAGAUUAAAGUUUCGCCAUGCAGACUGAGAUACAUUUUUGUGGAUGGAAGUUACGCACUGUGGGCAAGCAAUAAUAGCUACGGUUCCUUCAGAGGCCACCCUGAGUUACAAGCAGAGAGGAUUGUGAGUCAACUUCAGUUUUUAAUACAAAUGGAACUGGCUGGCUACCAAUGUGAGUCUGUUCUUUCCAGUGAUUUCCAGCAAGAGCAUAACAUCUUCCUUCAUCUAUUAUGAUUUCACUUUUUGGAUGUAACUUUUCUAAAAAUAUGAUUACAAAUUGUCUCAGAAUAUUUCAGCGUUCCCAUUGGAAGAUGAGACUUUUGCCUUAGAAAUCUUAUUACAACUCAUGCAAAACAAGUAUGCUGAGACCUGUAACUGAUACAAUACAAAUAUCCUGUCAAAUAAAUGCUCUGCAGUCAACA